GUUGACCUCGAAUCAGGUAGGACUACCCGCUGAACUUAAGCAUA
rnacentral:rRNA from 3 species